UACGUAGGUGGCAAGCGUUGUCCGGAUUUACUGGGCGUAAAGAGCGCGCAGGCGGUCGGAUAAGUCGAAUGUGAAAGCCCCUGGCUCAACCAGGGAGGGUCAUUCGAUACUGUUCGACUCGAAGGCAGGAGAGGGAAGUGGAAUUCCGGGUGUAGCGGUGGAAUGCGUAGAGAUCCGGAGGAAGACCGGUGGCGAAGGCGGUCUGCUGGGCAGUUUCUGACACUGAGGCGCGACAGCGUGGGGAGCAAACAGG
rnacentral:rRNA from 1 species